rnacentral:tRNA from 2 species
GCCACCUUAGCUCAGUUGGUAGAGCAAUACUUUUGUAAAGUAAAGGUCCCCGGUUCAAGCCCGGGAGGUGGCUCCA